rnacentral:pre_miRNA from 1 species
GCCUCUGCUUUUAUCCUUCCACAGCUUUCUUGAACUGCAUAUAUAUAUAUAUGCGAAUUAGGGUUUUUGUAUUAUAAUUGUGUGCGGUUCAAUAAAGCUGUGGGAAGAUACAAUCAGGGC